rnacentral:rRNA from 1 species
GACGAACGCUGGCGGCGUGCUUAACACAUGCAGGUCGAGCGGAAAGGCCCUGCUUUUGUGGGGUGCUCGAGUGGCGAACGGGUGAGUAACACGUGAGUAACCUGCCCUUGACUUUGGGAUAACUUCAGGAAACUGGGGCUAAUACCGGAUAGGAGCUCCUGCUGCAUGGUGGGGGUUGGAAAGUUUCGGCGGUUGGGGAUGGACUCGCGGCUUAUCAGCUUGUUGGUGGGGUAGUGGCUUACCAAGGCUUUGACGGGUAGCCGGCCUGAGAGGGUGACCGGCUACAUUGGGACUGAGAUACGGCCCAGACUCCUACGGGAGGCAGCAGUGGGGAAUAUUGCACAAUGGGCGGAAGCCUGAUGCAGCAACGCCGCGUGCGGGAUGACGGCCUUCGGGUUGUAAACCGCUUUCGCCUGUGACGAAGCGUGAGUGACGGUAAUGGGUAAAGAAGCACCGGCUAACUACGUG